rnacentral:pre_miRNA from 1 species
AAAACAGCAAUGACCACUAGCGAGGUAUAGAGUUCCUACGUUCUUGAAUUUAUUACUCGUAGGAACUUCAUACCGUGCUCUUGGGCUUGUGACAAUC